CUUGGACUACAGUGAAUCCAGCCUCAGUUGCUCACUCAUUAGUAUUACAAUGAAUUAUUAAAACGAAAUUGUAUUUUUUUUUUUUUUGGUUUUUGUUUUUCUUUUAUGAGGAUGAUUCACCCUGAGAUAACAUCCAUUGCCAAUCUUCCUCUUUUUGCUUAAGGAAAAUUGUCCCUGAGCUAACAUCUGGGCCAAUCUUCCCCUAUUUUGUAUAUGGGAUGCCACCACAGCACGGCUUGAUGAGCAGUGCAUAGGUCUGUGCCUGGGAUCCAAAUCUGUGAACCCUGGGCCACAGAAGCAGAGCACGUGAACCCACCUACUGUGCCACUAGGCUGGCCCCAAAACUAAAUUGUGUUUUGAAGAUAUUCUAUGUUGAAGCUGAAGCGCUCAACCCAAAAGAAUGGAAAAUCGAUGCCUAAUGUUCACAGCUCACUUUGUCCCCACCAAAGCUCUAAACAAGUUGCUUUUUGAAGCAAAGUCUUAUGACUGUAUAUUUGCAUGUAUGAUUUUUCUUCAAAACACCAUCAACAGAGACGUCAUUUGCAUCAGAAUCUAUGCUCUUUUGAUCCCUAGACAGAAGUUCUUACAGUUCUCCUUUGAAGCUUUCUCAAGUUUGGUAAGUCAGAAUGCUUUUAUAAGCCAACAUCAGACAGAAAAAUCCUUCCUGUUCCUGGCAGUUCCAUCAAGAAGAUUAUCCUCUCCUGCAAGACCAGCCAAAAAAAAAAUGAAUAUUUCAUUCUGCACAGUCUCAACAGAGUGAUGCUACGUUGUGUUCUGACUCUAGUGCUGAGGGAUACCACUUCAAAACUGUAAAAUCCGCAAGGCUAGAAUGAUGGAGACGUGAUUGGACUAUUCAGAGCCACCAAGCCGGGAAGCCACUGAGACACCUCUCUGCUAUUCAAUGACAAACAAUGCUUUUGUUGCUGUUACGGGUGUUAUCUUUCUUUGUGAGUAAGAGACUUCCUUCCUUCAGUUCCAGACUCUCAUUCAUGAUCAGAGAAAACGAGGCUUCCUUUAUUUUUAGCUCAGUUAAAAAUAAUCCUGGGGAAAGGAUCAGAUUGGAAUGGGGGAGGAAAAGCAGUCUUAUUACUUGCAGUAGGGUAAAACUUCUUUCAGAGAGGAACACCAGCCAAUUUAAAAGUUCUUCAUACAAUGUGUGCUGCACAGUAAAUGCUUAAUAUUUGUCAUGAAAAUGUUAAUAUUGGUUCUCAGUGAGGGGCGGGGGAAUAUAGCCAUGUGUGGAACUGGUAAUCAGAAAUUAAGUUUUAAUCCCAGCUCAGAUGUUAGGAAUGUGAACUUGGGUAAAUUGCUUUAUCCCCCAGAGCUUCCAAUUUUCAUUUGUCAAACCACCUUGAAAGAGAUUCCCCACUCACUGGGGUUUUCUCUUGAGUGAGAUAAAUGUUGUCUUUAGUGUAUAGUGCGGGGCCUGAUCAAUUCUAGUCAAUAAAUGCUGAUUCAAUCCCCCUUCCUCUUUCUGAGUUUUAGGGAUCAAUCCAAUUCUGACACAAGCGGUGUGACCUUGGGACGUCACCAAAACUGUCUCAGGUUCUCCACUCAUCUAAGGAAAUUGCCAUGCCUUCCUGACAAGACUGCUUUUAGAUGAAAUGAAGCAGUGCGUGUAAUAAUACUUUGUGAAGUUAACAGCCCUUUUUAGAUGCAAAGUCUUGUUAGAGUAGAUGGAAAUCGUUCCAGCUUCACUUUGUCACUAGAGACCUUUUAAAAAGCUAACAAUAACUCAGCCAGCAACUGGAAACCAUAAACUAAAAACUGC
ensembl:lncRNA